CGCAGCUCCGCGGUUCCGUGCACACCCCUAACUGCUGCACCGUUCAUCUGGGUGCACAAUCAGCAGAGGCAAAAGGAGUCUCCAGUCAUCUGGGGGAAGGCUACCACCACAGAUCUACUAGAAAGAAAGUCCAGUUGAACUCUGUGUGGUGCUUCUGAGUAAAGUGGUCAUGGCUGAAUAUAAGAGCCUUGCUGGAUCAGGCCCAGCAUCCUGUUUCUUACAGUGACCCAACAGAAGCCUCUGGCAAGAGAGAUACUGGAACUGACAGACGUUCGAUUUUCAGACACUUUCCAAACUUUAAGAAACAGGCAGAAAAUAGGAAGGACAGAUGAUGGAGGUCGGAAGAGGUCUUUUCUUUCAUGUAAUGCAGAAAUGAAAUGGGAAAAUUAAAAAAGAUUCUUAUGUAAGCCCUGUAGACAGUUAAGCAAUGGUAGUAACUGAAGAUUUUUUAAAAUAUAUUUUUCUGGUUAUAAAUAAUCAAAUAUUAGCCUGGGGUUGGGGUGGGGAAUCACAACAAUUUUGCAUUGCUGCCUCCUUUUCCUUCCUCUUUCCUCCCUGAUAUGUAAUGUGACUGAGCUGAUACAGUGCAAUUUGCAUGUUUUGGCCAGCAAGUCUAUUUCCUUUGUCUUUCAGCUU